rnacentral:rRNA from 1 species
UACAGAGGGGGCAAGCGUUGUUCGGAAUUACUGGGCGUAAAGGGCGCGUAGGCGGCCUUCUAAGUCGAACGUGAAAUCCCUGGGCUCAACCCAGGAACUGCGUCCGAUACUGGAAGGCUUGAAUCCGGGAGAGGGAUGCGGAAUUCCAGGUGUAGCGGUGAAAUGCGUAGAUAUGACAUAGAACACCCAUUGCGAAGGCAGCUCGCUACACUAUUAUUGACACUGAGGCACGAAAGCGUGGGGAUCAAACAGG